UCCGACCAAAGUUAAUCGAAGGAGAAAGAGAGAGAUAAAAGCACAGUGGGACGUUUGCAAUCGGUAGAGAGACAAAGGGAGACGACAUAAUGUUUACGAUGGAUUAAUGUGGAGAAAAACGCGGAUCGUUAACCGCGUCGAAGAUAAACGUUUCACGUUGAAAAAUCCUGCGACUCGUGAAAAAAAGGAACGCGACUCGAUUGUUUGUCAGCCUUUUCCUUCCCGCUCCAUGCUUUUUUUACACGUGUUGCAAUUCCGCGUCAAUGCGGUGUAAUUUGAAAACGACAAGGAGGAGAAAGAUGCAAACACGGAGAAAGGAAUUGAAUUCCCGUUGAAUUAUUUUGCAACGGGAACAAGCAGCCGUUUGUCCCGUUUCCAACUAGCGAUUUUUAAGAGUUUCUUUCUUCUUUCUCCCUUUUUUUCCCUCUCCCCCUCCCUUCCGUUCCAUUGUUCCAUUGCGAUUACGUGAAAUUUAAGAGGACGUGAAGGGAAUCGAAUAAAUUCUCGUUUUUCAUUCAUACUCGCGAUAAAUAAAUUGAAUUAUUCGUUGGAAUAUUUCGAUAUUUGAUUAGUCCCUUUAUGAGAAAUUAGGUUUAUUUUCAUGACGUUACAAUUAUGGCAUUAAUAUACCGUUUACAAACAAUGAAAACACAUUUUCUUCACAUGUUAACUAUCUACAAACAAAUAAAUUUCACAAAAUAUUUCGCACUGCAAGAUCGUAUUACGAAGAAAAAUUCAAAUUUUCCUUAUCUUAUAUUAUUUCUCCAGAGAUAGUAUCGUAUCACGUACUACUUUUCGAAUUGUUAUUCCUCCACGAACUUUCCCGUGCACACGAGGGGGUUAAUAAAGACGCGAAUUAAGCGGACCAAAAAUCAGAAAAUCUCCGAGCCGAAACCAAGAUAAACAACGCAAACAUUUCUCGCGAAUAAACUCGCGCAACAAAAAUAUGCGCGCUCCUCGUGUUGCACCGCGUGUUACCGCGUGCAAAUAGUACGUGUUCCGCGUUGAAAGGGGCGGAAGCGGCGAAGAAGCGAUGCCGGAAACUCCCUUUUCGACGCGGCGACGUAAUGCAAAAGUUUGACAGGAGGCGAGAACUCGUUAUACGUCCCAACUAUCCUUCUAAUACGAUUAAUCCGAGGAGAGACAGAGAAACGGGCGAGCGGGUACACGGUUUGCACACGUCUGCAUCCUGUAUGCAUAAUGCAGGAGAGGAAGAAAGAGACGUCGAUUCAUCGUCGAGUCGGAUUUCAUUCGAACCUAUUAUUUCCUCCACCGUGUGCGAGGCAUCCAUCGAGUGCCAUUUCUUUCGUUCUAUCGACGAUGCGGCGUUUUGUUAGCGAUCAAUUUUUUUUCCUUUUUCCUUUUCAGUUCAGUUUCAAAAUGUAUGUACGUAUAUUUUUAUUCAACCGAACGUUUACAAAUAUCGGCAUCUCAAUUUUUCGAGAUUCGUAUUUUUAAUCUUAGAGUAUCUCGAGAUACUCGAAACCGUCAGCUUUAUUGUUGACCCAGAUCACUGAAGCGUUGCCGGAUGGAAUGGUUGAGCGCGAUCACUGAUUUCCACCGCGCGGAGAGUUACAUAAUAUUACAGGUAUUUCGUCUAUCUAUAUAAUAAAUCUGCGCUUUCGCGCUGUUCGUUCUAGCUGCUUAAUCCGUCAACACGUUACUACGUCAUCGUAUUUUCAAUCACGCGUUAUAUUCUUCUCUUGUGUUCUACGUAUAAACACAUACGGAAGGGAUUAAAAUGAAAUUCUUCCGACGAAGAUGGAACGAGGAGAUAUUAGAGAAAGAGUUUUCAUACGAUUAUUUUUUUUAAUAAACUCUCAUUAAAAAAUUAAUUUCGUUUCCAAAUACAAUUCCUUUUCGCAUUCUUUAAAAAUCUAAAAUUUCUUUCUCUCGCGCAGAAUAAUCCCCACUCCUGAAACCUUCGAUACAUCAAAAGGGAUCGAUCGUCAACAAACAAACCCUCAACGAUAGAACGAAACAAAAUUUCCCUUAUUCCUUUUUUAAAACUCGAGAAUUAUUCGCUUACAUACACCACGAAAAUGUAAUCAUUCGAAUCAGUAUUGAAAAAUUAAUCGCUAUAAAUAAAAUCACUUUAUUCGAAAAAAAAUUUGUUCGCAGCUGCCGCAGCAUCUUCGUAUAAUCUCGGAUUAUAAUUAACCUUAAUUCGACGCUUCGAAAUAAUAAAUCGUCGAAAUAAACUUUUAUUUCAGCAUUUAAAAAAUUUUCCUCGUCUCUGAAUCCUCGCAGAAGCUCGGUGGAUCUUCGAUGCAUUUUCCGGGGAAACGUACGUUCGUCGAAAUGCAUAUCCGGCCGGGUUGCUCGCGCACAGGCGCAAAAAUAUUCGCUUACGUCCGUCAGAGGUGCGCGAUAUGGAAAAUCUGCGAUGACAGAUCCGAGUUUACUCGUUACGAUUUCACAUGUGUGCACAUGUGCUUUGAUACAGAGCGAUCGAUAAUUUUUCCUUUUUUUUUUUAUUCCUCCUCCUUUUUUUCUUCAUCCUCUUUCGCCCCGCGUUCCCUUUACACACGAGAUUUUACUAGGACAAUUUUCGGGGGAAUUGGAGCAAGUGUAAUAUAGUUUUCAGGUCUUGGUGAAUGUUUUACGAAGAUUCGCGAGAGAAGCUAAAUAUCGAGAGGAUGAUGAAGUUUGCUCGUUUGCGGCUUGGAUAACGGAGUCUUUGGAAGUGGGAUAGCGAUGUGUGUUUGCGGGCAUCGUUAGGGGUUGGCUCUAGGCACUACUUUUUUUCUAGCUGGAAUUGUACGUUGGAAUAAGAAAGUGGAUGUUGUAUUUUAUAUGGUAAUGCUCACGUUCGGCACACCAAUUGCAACAUUUUAUGGCCACCACGUCUUUACAGCUGGCGCGGAACGUUCAUUUCGACGAAUUUAACUGGUGACUAUGAUCGUCUGUUCAAAAUUCAUGCGCUUCGUCCCGAGAUAUCCCGAACGUUCCGACUAUUUCGACGAAUAAUUCGAAAAUAUCGUGAGAAAUAUCUUUACGUCACGAGAAAAAUUUAACUAUAGUGAACUAUAAUAAUUACGGUAUCGAAGGUAAGGGAAUCUUGAAUUUUUAAAACUGUCGGAAAGUUAUUGAAACGCGAACAAUAGAACUUCAUCUAUCUGACAAGUAACGCGAAGCUGUAGACAUCAGCAUCGAGUAAUAACAACGAUGAUAAUGGAACUUUGUUUAUCCAAACUCAAUUUAUCGGAAUGAAAUUUUCAUCAAUACCCGUUUAAACGAAGCUGUCCUCCUAUUAUUUGAACUUGCAUCGGGCAUCAUUUCAAUUAUAUGAACGUUUGUAACGGAUUGGAAAAUAGAAUAUAACGCAAUAAGUUAAUACACUGCGUAAAUCGCGAAAAAUAAGCUGUAUUAAAUCAAAAAAAGAACAAAAAUUUUAAAAUAAUGGAGGAACAAUUGAUGCAAGUCUACCCAGUCACGAUGAAUUAUUAUCCUGCACUCUAUCAAAUUUAUAAUAAUACUAUACAACCCUUUUAAUCCCUUGAACAGUUACAUCACAUUAAAAAUUCAUUAAU